rnacentral:rRNA from 1 species
AGAGUUUGAUCAUGGCUCAGAACGAACGCUGGCGGCAUGCCUAACACAUGCAAGUCGAACGCGUGUAGCAAUACACGAGUGGCGCACGGGUGAGUAAUACGUGGGAACCUGCCCUGGAGUGGGGGAUAACCCGGCGAAAGCCGGGCUAAUACCGCAUACGACCUGAGGGUGAAAGAUUUAUCGCUCUUGGAGGGGCCCACGUCGGAUUAGCUAGUUGGUGGGGUAAUGGCCUACCAAGGCUACGAUCCGUAGCUGGUCUGAGAGGAUGAUCAGCCACACUGGGACUGAGACACGGCCCAGACUCCUACGGGAGGCAGCAGUGGGGAAUAUUGGACAAUGGGCGCAAGCCUGAUCCAGCAAUGCCGCGUGAGUGAUGAAGGCCUUAGGGUUGUAAAGCUCUUUCGGCGGGGACGAUGAUGACGGUACCCGCAGAAGAAGCCCCGGCUAACUUCGUGCCAGCAGCCGCGGUAAUACGAAGGGGGCAAGCGUUGUUCGGAAUUACUGGGCGUAAAGGGCGCGUAGGCGGCUCUGGAAGUCAGACGUGAAAGCCCCGGGCUUAACCUGGGAACUGCGUUUGAUACUCCGGUGGCUUGAGUUCGGGAGAGGAGAGUGGAAUUCCCAGUGUAGAGGUGAAAUUCGUAGAUAUUGGGAAGAACACCAGUGGCGAAGGCGGCUCUCUGGACCGAUACUGACGCUGAGGCGCGAAAGCGUGGGGAGCAAACAGGAUUAGAUACUCUGGUAGUCCACGCUGUAAACGAUGUGUGCUAGACGUUGGGAGACUUAGUUUCUCAGUGUCGCAGCUAACGCUUUAAGCACACCGCCUGGGGAGUACGGCCGCAAGGUUAAAACUCAAAGGAAUUGACAGGGGCCCGCACAAGCGGUGGAGCAUGUGGUUCAAUUCGACGCAACGCGAGAACCUUACCAGCUCUUGACAUGGGACGUUUGAUCCCGAGAGAUCGGGGUCGUCAGU